UACGUAGGGUGCAAGCGUUGUCCGGAAUUAUUGGGCGUAAAGGGCUCGUAGGCGGUCUGUCACGUCGGCUGUGAAAACCCGGGGCUCAACCCCGGGCCUGCAGUCGAUACGGGCAGACUAGAGUGCGGUAGGGGAGACUGGAAUUCCUGGUGUAGCGGUGAAAUGCGCAGAUAUCAGGAGGAACACCGGUGGCGAAGGCGGGUCUCUGGGCCGUAACUGACGCUGAGGAGCGAAAGCGUGGGGAGCGAACAGG
rnacentral:rRNA from 1 species